GUGGAAAUGGGGUAGGUUGAAGCCAGUGUGGUUGGAUAACGGGGUGAGGAUAUGAGAGCCUGCAGGCCUUGGAGACAGGGCAGUUAAAGGGAACGAUGAUCUUGUAACAGGAUCUACGUUAUUCUGAGGCAACAGAACUCUGGCUGAGAAAAUUCAAUUGCCGUGGGGCGUAAGCAAAUGUUUUUGAGCUGGAGAGGAAUAUGACCAACGCCAUCCAGCAGCAAGAGAAUGUACUCUAAGGAGGAGACGGGCACAACGAUAUCAUUUUGCACAUUUGGACAUGUCUGUGCACAUGCAAAUGGUCAUUGGAUGAACAACCUCUCCCUAUUAUCAUAGGCUUGGGGUCCCACCCAAGUAAUCACCCUGUCUGUCCUUUGUGCUUUUAUCAGUACACAAGAAACCGAUGGGACUCUACAUCUUAGCUUUAUCAAUUAGGACUCCUCACCACCACUGCACAGUUCAGGGCCUUGUGCUAUGCCUACUGAGGCCUCCUCCUACCUCUCCACAAAUCUAGACCUUGCACUGGGAUGAGAAGUGGGUCUGCAAAGCAUGCCCUGAGCACCCGUUCACAGCCAGCUAUGUGCAGGAUCCUCACACCAAGGAGCUGGGGUGGGAGUUGAGUCAAUAGCCAGGCCUGCACCAUAGGCGUGACCCAGACAGGCCAUCACAUGGAGAUGGAAAGGCAGCAGAUAAGGCCACUUCAGAGAGACAGGGUGGAGCCCAUGUCCUGCUCCUGAGACCAAGCAAUGCCUCUUCAUGCUUCCUUGCAGACCAUUCCCUCCCACUAGUCCAGCCCUUGGCAACCAUAGGCUUCUUUUUUUUU
rnacentral:lncRNA from 1 species